rnacentral:rRNA from 1 species
ACACGUAGGGGCCUGACGUUGUUCGGAAUCAUUGGGCGUAAAGGGCGCGCAGGCGGCCGUCCAAGUCCGGUGUUAAAUGGUCGGGCUCAACCCGAUCAUGCGCUGGAAACUGGGCGGCUGGAGUCCCGGAGGGGAUGCCGGAAUUCCAGGUGUAGGGGUGAAAUCUGUAGAUAUCUGGAAGAACACCGAUGGCGAAGGCAGGCAUCUGGCCGGAGACUGACGCUGAGGCGCGAAGGCGCGGGGAGCGAACAGGUAUAGAUACCCUGGUAGUCCGCGCAGUAAACGAUGCGCACCAGGUGUCGGGCGGCAGCGCCCGGUACCGGAGCAAACGCGAUGAGUGCGCCGCCUGGGGAGUAUGCCCGCAAGGGUGAAACUCAAAUGAAUUGGCGGGG